rnacentral:rRNA from 1 species
UUAAGCUUCAAACUGGGAUUAGAUACCCCACUAUUCUUGGCUAUAAAAUAAAAAAAUUUACCAGAGUACUACGAACCUAGUAAAAUUUAAAACUCAAAGGGCUUGGCGGUGUUUUAGACCUCUCAGGGGAACCUGUCUCAUAAUCGACAAUCCACGAUAGACCUAACCCUGUUUUGCACUCAGUUUGUAUACCGUUGUCGUCAGGUAACUUUCAAAAAAUAAGAAGUUAGCGGUUAAAAUUAAUUAUAAAUUAAGACGUCAAAUCAAGGUGCAGCUUACAGCAGGGGGAGGAUGGGUUACAAUUAUAAAUUCAUAAGAACGGAAAACACAUUGAAUAAUGUAUUUAAAGGAGGACUUGAAAGUAAAAUAAAAUACAUAAACAAUUUGAAUAAGGCUCUGAAACGUGCACACACCGCCCGUCACCCUCUGUAGUCAAAUAUCC